rnacentral:rRNA from 1 species
GACAGAGGGGGCAAGCGUUGUCGGGAGUUACUGGGCGUAAAGGGCGCGGAGGCGGUCUGCGGCGUCGGCGCUGAAAGCCCCCCGCUUAACGGGGCGAGGCGUGCCGAUACGGGCAGGCUUGAGGCGAGCAGAGGGUGGUGGAAUUCCGGGUGGAGCGGUGAAAUGCGUAGAGAUCCGGAGGAACGCCAGUGGGGAAGGCGGCCUCCUGGGCUCGUCCUGACGCUGCGGCGCGACAGCGUGGGGAGCAAACCGG